rnacentral:rRNA from 1 species
UACAGAGGUCUCAAGCGUUGUUCGGAUUCAUUGGGCGUAAAGGGUGCGUAGGCGGCGCGGUAAGUCGGGUGUGAAAUCUCGGAGCUUAACUCCGAAACUGCAUUCGAUACUGCCGUGCUUGAGGACUGGAGAGGAGACUGGAAUUUACGGUGUAGCGGUGAGAUGCGUAGAUAUCGGGAGGAAUACCAGUGGCGAAGGCGGCUUCUUGGCCUGUUCUUGACGCUGAGGCGCGAAAGCUGGGGGAGCAAACGGG